AAGUUGUUACGAGCACACGGUGGAUGCCUUGGCAUCAGGAGCCGAUGAAGGACGCGGUAAUCUGCGAUAAGCCUCGGGGAGCUGAUAAACGAGCUGUGAUCCGAGGGUCUCCGAAUGGGGAAACCCCGCCGCGUGUUAUGCGUGGUGACCCGCACCUGAAUUCAUAGGGUGUGUGGAGGGAACGUGGGGAAGUGAAACAUCUCAGUACCCACAGGAAGAGAAAACAACAGUGAUUCCGUCAGUAGUGGCGAGCGAACGCGGAAGAGGCCAAACCGAUGGUGUGUGAUACCCGGCAGGGGUUGCAUCAUCGGGGUCGUGGGGCGUGUCGUCCCGGGUCUGCCGGCCCGGGCGUGUGAGUGCAGGGCGAUAGUCGAACCGGUGUGAGUGCCGGACCGGAGAGGGUGAGAGUCCCGUAGAC
rnacentral:rRNA from 1 species